rnacentral:misc_RNA from 1 species
GCUCCGUUGGUGAACCAGCGGAGGGAUCAUUAUCGAGUUUAUAACUCCCAAACCCUAUGUGAACUUACCACUUGUUGCUUCGGCGCGCGCUUCGGUGCCGCCGAGGACACUUAAACUCUUUGUUUUUAUAAGCAUUUCUGAGUGGCCGAAAGGCAAAAUACAAAUGAGUCAAAACUUUCAACAACGGAUCUCUUGGUUCUG